rnacentral:rRNA from 1 species
AUUGAACGCUGGCGGCAGGCCUAACACAUGCAAGUCGAGCGGAUGAAGGGAGCUUGCUCCUGGAUUCAGCGGCGGACGGGUGAGUAAUGCCUAGGAAUCUGCCUGGUAGUGGGGGAUAACGUCCGGACACGGGCGCUAAUACCGCAUACGUCCUGAGGGAGAAAGUGGGGGAUCUUCGGACCUCACGCUAUCAGAUGAGCCUAGGUCGGAUUAGCUAGUUGGUGGGGUAAAGGCCUACCAAGGCGACGAUCCGUAACUGGUCUGAGAGGAUGAUCAGUCACACUGGAACUGAGACACGGUCCAGACUCCUACGGGAGGCAGCAGUGGGGAAUAUUGGACAAUGGGCGAAAGCCUGACCCAGCCAUGCCGCGUGUGUGAAGAAGGUCUUCGGAUUGUAAAGCACUUUAAGUUGGGAGGAAGGGCAGUAAGUUAAUACCUUGCUGUGUUGACGUUACCAACAGAAUAAGCACCGGCUAACUUCGUG